CCUACGGGGUGCUGCAGUGGGGAAUAUUGGACAAUGGGCGAAAGCCUGAUCCAGCCAUGCCGCGUGUGUGAAGAAGGCCUUCGGGUUGUAAAGCACUUUCGGUGGGGAAGAAAGCCUUGGGGCUAAUACCCUCGAGGAAGGACAUCACCCACAGAAGAAGCACCGGCUAACUCCGUGCCAGCAGCCGCGGUAAUACGGAGGGUGCGAGCGUUAAUCGGAAUUACUGGGCGUAAAGCGCGCGUAGGCGGUCUGAUAAGCCGGUUGUGAAAGCCCCGGGCUCAACCUGGGAACGGCAUCCGGAACUGUCAGGCUAGAGUGCAGGAGAGGAAGGUAGAAUUCCCGGUGUAGCGGUGAAAUGCGUAGAGAUCGGGAGGAAUACCAGUGGCGAAGGCGGCCUUCUGGACUGACACUGACGCUGAGGUGCGAAAGCGUGGGUAGCAAACAGGAUUAGAUACCCUAGUAGUC
rnacentral:rRNA from 1 species